rnacentral:rRNA from 1 species
GACAGAGGGUGCAAACGUUGUUCGGAUUUACUGGGCGUAAAGCGCGUGUAGGCGGUCCGGUAAGUCCGCUGUGAAAGUCGAGGGCUCAACCCUCGAAUGCCGGUGGAUACUGUCGGGCUUGAGUACGGGAGAGGCGAGUGGAAUUCCUGGUGUAGCGGUGAAAUGCGCAGAUAUCAGGAGGAACACCGAUUGCGAAGGCAGCUCGCUGGAACGUUACUGACGCUGAGACGCGAAAGCGUGGGGAGCAAACAGG